GGCCUAACACAUGCAAGUCGAGCGGUAGCACAGGAGAGCUUGCUCUCCGGGUGACGAGCGGCGGACGGGUGAGUAAUGUCUGGGAAACUGCCUGAUGGAGGGGGAUAACUACUGGAAACGGUAGCUAAUACCGCAUAACGUCGCAAGACCAAAGUGGGGGACCUUCGGGCCUCAUGCCAUCAGAUGUGCCCAGAUGGGAUUAGCUAGUAGGUGGGGUAAUGGCUCACCUAGGCGACGAUCCCUAGCUGGUCUGAGAGGAUGACCAGCCACACUGGAACUGAGACACGGUCCAGACUCCUACGGGAGGCAGCAGUGGGGAAUUUUCCGCAAUGGGCGAAAGCCUGACGGAGCAAUACCGCGUGAGGGAUGACGGCCUAUGGGUUGUAAACCUC
rnacentral:rRNA from 1 species